rnacentral:rRNA from 1 species
ACUCCGAAUACCGUUGACGUGUAUUCCGGCAGUGAGUCGGCGGGGGAUAAGCUCCGUCGUCGAGAGGGAGACAGCCCAGACCGUCGUCUAAGGUCCCGAAGCGUGUGCUAAGUGGGAAAGGAUGUGGAGUCGCAUAGACAGCCAGGAGGUUGGCUCAGAAGCAGCCAUCCUUGAAAGAGUGCGUAACAGCUCACUGGUCUAGUGGUUCCGCGCCGACAAUGUAGCGGGGCUCAAGCACACCACCGAAGACGCGGCAGCAAUCUUCAUGGUUGCUGGGUAGGAGAGCGUCCUGCGAGGGGCGAAGCGGCGGUGGAAACCGGCCGUGGACUUCGUGGGAGUGAGAAUGCAGACAUGAGUAGCGAGAGACGGGUGAGGAUCCCGUCCGCUGGAUGACCAAGGUUCCGGGGCCACGUUCGUCGUCCCCGGGUGAGUCGGGUCCUAAGGCGAGGCCGACAGGCGUAGUCGAAUGGAUGAACGGUGGAUAUUCCCGUACCGACCAUGGACC